UACGUAGAAGACUAGUGUUAUUCAUCUUUAGUAGGUUUAAAGGGUACCUAGACGGUAUGAUUAGUCUUAAACAGGAUACGAUUAUACUAGAGUUAUACAUGAGAAGGGGAGUAUUUAUGGAGUAGAUGUUGAAAUUCUUUGAUCCCAUGACGACUGGUAACGGCGAAAGCAACCUUUUAUACUAAAUAACUGACGUUGAGGGACGAAGGCU
rnacentral:rRNA from 1 species